UACGGGGGGAGCAAGCGUUGUUCGGAUUUACUGGGCGUAAAGGGCGCGUAGGCGGUCAGCACAAGUCAGUUGUGAAAUCUCCGGGCUUAACUCGGAAAGGUCAACUGAUACUGUGCGACUAGAGUGCAGAAGGGGCAACUGGAAUUCUCGGUGUAGCGGUGAAAUGCGCAGAUAUCAGGAGGAACACCAAUUGCGAAGGCAGCUCGCUGGGACGUUACUGACGCUGAGACGCGAAAGCGUGGGGAGCAAACAGG
rnacentral:rRNA from 1 species